rnacentral:rRNA from 1 species
GAUGAACGCUGGCGGCGUGCCUAAUACAUGCAAGUCGAGCGAACAGAUAAGGAGCUUGCUCCUUUGACGUUAGCGGCGGACGGGUGAGUAACACGUGGGUAACCUACUUAUAAGACUGGAAUAACUCCGGGAAACCGGGGCUAAUGCCGGAUAACAUGUUGAACCGCAUGGUUCUACAGUGAAAGGCGGCUUUGCUGUCACUUAUAGAUGGACCCGCGCCGUAUUAGCUAGUUGGUGAGGUAACGGCUCACCAAGGCAACGAUACGUAGCCGACCUGAGAGGGUGGUCGGCCACACUGGAAGGGAGACACGGUCCAGACUCCUACGGGAGGCAGCAGUAGGGAAUCGUCCGCAAUGGGCGAAAGCCUGACGGAGCAGCGGCGCGUGAGUGAUGAAGGUCUUCGGAGCGUAAAACUCUGUUAUUAGGGAAGAACAAAUGCGUAAGUAACUGUGCGCGUCUUGACGGUACCUAAUCAGAAAGCCACGGCUAACUACGUG